CGCCUUUUGAAUUAUAAACAUAAAAGGUCCUGCCUGCCCAGUGACUUGUUUUUAACGGCCGCGGUAUCAUGACCGUGCAAAGGUAGCGUAAUCACUUGUCUUUUAAAUAAAGACCAGUAUGAAUGGCAAGACGAAAGCCUAACUGUCUCCCUAGAUUAAUCAAUGAAAUUGAUUUUCCCGUGCAGAAGCGGGAAUAAUAGUAUAAGACGAGAAGACCCUGUGGAGCUUUAAACUUAAGCUAACAAACCAAAAAUGCCUUAGCACCCAGUUUUAGGUUGGGGCGACCACGAGGUAAAACACAACCCUCGACAUAAACAAAGAAGGACACUUCAAAAUAAUAUUAUAAUAUAUUGAUCCAAUAAUUGAUCAACGAACCAAGUUACCCCAGGGAUAACAGCGCAAUCUACUCAAAGAGCCCAUAUCGACGAGCAGGUUUACGACCUCGAUGUUGGAUCAGGACUCCCCAAUAACGCAACCGUUAUUAAAGGUUCGUUUGUUCAACGAUUAAAGUCCU
rnacentral:rRNA from 1 species